rnacentral:rRNA from 1 species
GAUGAACGCUGGCGGCGUGCCUAAUACAUGCAAGUCGAGCGAACGGACGAGAAGCUUGCUUCUCUGAUGUUAGCGGCGGACGGGUGAGUAACACGUGGAUAACCUACCUAUAAGACUGGGAUAACUUCGGGAAACCGGAGCUAAUACCGGAUAAUAUUUUGAACCGCAGGGGGCAAAAGGGAAAGACGGGCGGGCGGGCACGGAGAGAGGGAGCCGCGCUGCAUUAGCUAGUUGGUAAGGUAACGGCUUACCAAGGCAACGAUGCAUAGCCGACCUGAGAGGGUGAUCGGCCACACUGGAACUGAGACACGGUCCAGACUCCUACGGGAGGCAGCAGUAGGGAAUCUUCCGCCUUGGGCGGCCGCCUGUCGGGGCCCCGCCGCGUGGGUGCUGAAGGUCUUCGGAUCGUAAAACUCUGUUAUUAGGGAAGCCCAUAUGUGUCCGUACCUGUGCCCAUCUUGACGGUCCCUCCUCCGACAGCCCCGGCUCGCUCCGUG